rnacentral:misc_RNA from 1 species
AGUUCGACAUUCGGGUGAGAAGAUGCAUAAAUUUGUGAGUUCAUUGUUUGGCUUUUCUGCUGUGGUCAUCUUCAUUUUACAGCUAGUGAUUGCAAAAGAGGAAACAGGACAUUCGUGGAGUGACCUUGUGAAUUCAUUUGUGCAUAAGGAUUUCUACUAUUAUUUAGGAGAUUAUCUUUAUGGAUCACCAAUCAGUUAUAACCAUCCCGAUCAAAUUUAUUUGAGAGUCGGAAAAAAGUGGGAAAAGACUAUUGGUAGUUCCAGUCAUGAAGUUGUAUGUGAGAGAGCGUCGGAGAAAGAUUAUUAUAAGCUUGAUACAAAUUUUUUACCCAACUUAUACAUUUACAGCGACAAAAAUGGUGUAGCAAAUAAAAAUAUCUUAUCAUAUUUCACAUCCAUCGAGAGAGAAAUUUGGGUAUGCAGAAGUCGCCUGCCCCAAGGUAUCUGUAAUAAAGCGCUAAGAGGUGUGGGAGUGAAGAUGAAAUCUUCACAGCCAAUAAGCUUCUACCGGAUUGUUAAUGUGAUGCAUGGCAUACAGCCGAUGAAUAAGAUAUUCUAUUUUGAUGGAAUCGAGGUGUUCAAGGACAGAUGCGCCAUGAGACAAGUGGAUGAUAUGGGUGAAGCUGACACGGCUACCUUUCGGGAAAUUAAAUAUGUUGAUCCAUCUGAUAAGAAGGUUGUACGAUACAGAGGGAAGGUGUUCCUCAAAACGGAUCCUACUACCACCACAAAACCCAGAUGUGAGUUAGAGUUAGUAAACAGGAAUGGAGCUACCAGUUAUUCCAGCAAUCUACCGCUUUGUGCUCUCAAGAGACGAAAUAAAAUAACUGAAUCUUAUUCAGCUUUCGCAGAUGAUGGACUAAAGCAUGUGAAUAGUGUAUACUUCUCAAUAAUCAGACAAGAACUCUGGAAAUGUUUCUAUGUUGACGGUAGACAUUUCUGGAGAAGAAUGACAGUUCUUGUAGGAUCUAUACCGGUACAGGAGAUAGAAUACUAUAGUGGGAUCAGUGUGUGGAGAUACAGACUUGAUAGCUCAACAUACAGUGUCAAAAUAAGAGAAAUAUUUUAUUACAAGCCAAACAAUGAAAGAAUAGGCCUACCUGUCAAAUUUGGUGGAGUGGUGAAACUUAUGAAGCCGCCGAAAGAGAGACACUAUGAGACAAAGUUGAAAAAACAUACAUAUAAAUAUAACAAAAUGAGCAACCAAAUGCCAACACGUUUGUAUCCUGAUUAUGAUGACGAUACUGAUGACGAAGAUUUACUAGAUAUGGGAGCGGCAGUAAUAUAAAAAUUCCGAUGCAAUCUAAUCAGCAAGUUUUCAUGUGUUAUUUUGUCAUCACUGCUAAAUAAAAUUUAUAAAUCACACCCAUUCUUGAGUUAUAAGCAUGUCAACCAAAUCUGGGAGAUUUGUAUUUUCCAUGAAUAAAACAUAACAUCAUUGAUUUUGCAAAAAUGGUAAAAAAUUAAAAACGCUCAAAAUCUUAGGAAUGAUAGAACUUGACGAGAGUAACAAUAAUAUGUCAUCACAUUGGCCAAAUUCACUCCUAUUCUUGAGUUAUAAGCAUUAAUUUGAAGAUGAGUGAUUUUUCUGAUCUGAGAGAGGAGGAAAGAUUCUAUGUUUCAGUGAUUAACUCACUCUGUAUUGUAGCAAAACGUCUCAUAUCAUUUUAGGUUAGGUUAGGUUAGGUUAGGUUUCGAUUUCAACC